UUACUUGCCUUCCUUUCAGGGUCAGUAUAUCUCCAUGGUCUUUUACCAAACUCCUCAAGACGGUUGUGGUGUACCUGCAGGCACAGGGUUUUCAUUGUAUCAACUGUUUGGAUGAUAUUUCCAUUCUGAUGAUCGCCCUGUUUUAGCUGAGUCAACCAUGUUUUCUGGUUCAUCUGGAGCUCUUAUGUAAGAAUCCCCUUCUGCUUCCCAGCCCUCAUCACAGAUCCCAAGGGGAAUCCUCAUCCGCUAGUUAUAAAGCAUAGUCUAUAUCUAGUGGCCUGGACUCUGUCUGGGGUUCCUGAAACGUCAAACAAAAUUUGGCAAGAGGCUAAAGUCAUGUGUUGUGUAUGUAGGGGGACGUGGCAAGUGUGCGCAUAGGAACUGUA